GAUGAACGCUAGCGGCAGGCCUAAUACAUGCAAGUCGGACGGGAUUCAGGAGCUUGCUUCUGAUGAGAGUGGCGCACGGGUGCGUAACACGUAUGUAACCUACCUUUAUCAGGGGGAUAGCCUCUCGAAAGAGAGAUUAAGCCCGCAUAAAAUCACAGCACAGCAUUGUGUAAUGAUCAAAUAUUUAUAGGAUAAAGAUGGGCAUGCGGAACAUUAGCUAGAUGGCGGGGUAACGGCCCACCAUGGCGACGAUGUUUAGGGGAUCUGAGAGGAUGGCCCCCCACACUGGUACUGAGACACGGACCAGACUCCUACGGGAGGCAGCAGUAAGGAAGAUUGGUCAAUGGGCGGAAGCCUGAACCAGCCAUGCCGCGUGCAGGAAGACGGCCCUACGGGUUGUAAACUGCUUUUAUACGGGAAUAAACCCAGAUACGUGUAUCUGGCUGAAUGUACUGUAAGAAUAAGGAUCGGCUAACUCCGU
rnacentral:rRNA from 1 species